AGCGCCUGCGCACUGCGCCGCCGGCUGGGGUGCUGGGGGCGGGGCAGGGGCAGGUGUAGCCUCUGUGCCUCGUUGUCCCCUGGCGCUACCCGGACAUCUCUCAGGGUGCCGGCACCAUGAAGAUCUGGACUUCGGAGCACGUCUUUGAAUUUCAUUUACAAACAUGGUUUCAGUAGAUGAGAGACUUAUAUACAAACCACAUCCUCAGGAUCCAGAAAAAACUGUUUUGACACAAGAAGCCAUAAUUACCGUGAAAGGAGUUAGCCUCAGCAGUUACCUUGAAGGACUGAUGGCAAGUACGAUAUCCUCAAAUGCUAGUAAAGGCCGAGAAGCAAUGGAAUGGGUAAUACAUAAAUUAAAUGCUGAGAUUGAAGAACUGACAGCCUCAGCAAGAGGAACCAUAAGGACUCCAAUGGCAGCAGCAGCGUUUGCAGAGAAGUGAUCGUGACAGUUGGUAGACAACAUCGGGUACUCCAGCUACAUCCGAUACUCCCAGAUCUGUGCAAAAGCAGUGAGAGAUGCACUGAAGACAGAAUUCAAAGCAAAUGCUGAGAAGACUUCUGGCAGCAACGUAAAAAUUGUGAAAGUAAAGAAGGAAUAAUCUACCCUGACUAAAGCUUGAAAUGCUACAUUUCCAAGGUGAAGAUGUGUGGGCACAUGUUAUGGCAGAUUGAAAAGGAUCUCAUUCCAUGGGAAAAAAAAAAAUCCUGUCUUGUUCAUAAAUUGACAAUGUCAAUAAAUUGAAAUAUGGUUCACUGUUACUCUUGA
rnacentral:lncRNA from 1 species